ACACAGAGGCCGCCCGCCAAGUAUGGUGCCAUUCCGAGUCCCGCGGACGAACUUCGCCCACGCCCCCCACCAAGGCUAUAGCCCACGCGUUUUUUGGCCUUUUUUCCGCUGGGGGGUCUUGGGACCCCGACCUUCGGGGGCUGAUUUUUGGGCGCGGCUGUGCCCGUGGCCUAUUUUUGGCACACCGAGGCCGCCCGCCAAGUAUGGUGCCAUUCCGAGUCCCGCGGACGAACUUCGCCCACGUCCCCCACCAAAGCUAUAGCCCACGCGUUUUUUGGCCAUUUUUCCGCUGGGGGGUAUUGGGACCCCGACCUUCGGGGGCUGAUUUUUGGGCGCGGCUGUGCCCGUGGCCUAUUUUUGGCACACAGAGGCCGCCCGCCAAGUAUGGUGCCAUUCCGAGUCCCGCGGACGAACUUCGCCCACGCCCCCCACCAAGGCUAUAGCGCACCCGUUUUUUGGCCAUUUUUCCGCCGGGGGGUCUUGGGACCCCGACCUUCGGGGGCUGAUUUUUGGGCGCGGCUGUGCCCGUGGCCUAUUUUUAGCACACGGAGGCCGCCCGCCAAGUAUGGUGCCAUUCCGAGUCCCGCGGACGAACUUCGCCCACGCCCCCCACCAAGGCUAUAGCCCACGCGUUUUUUGACCAUUUUUCCGCUGGGGGGUCUUGGGACCCCGACCUUCGGGGGCUGAUUUUUGGGCGCGGCUGUGCCCGUGGCCUAUUUUUGGCACACCGAGGCCGCCCGCCAAGUAUGGUGCCAUUCCGAGUCCCGCGGACGAACUUCGCCCACGCCCCCCACCAAGGCUAUAGCCCACGCGUUUUUUGACCAUUUUUCCGCUGGGGGGUCUUGGGACCCCGACGUUCGGGGGCUGAUUUUUGGGCGCGGCUGUGCCCGUGGCCUAUUUUUGGCACACGGAGGCCGCCCGCCAAGUAUGGUGCCAUUCCGAGUCCCACGGACGAACUUCGCCCACGCCCCCCACCAAGGCUAUAGCCCACGCGUUUUUUGGCCAUUUUUCCGCUGGGGGGUCUUGGGACCCCGACCUUCGGGGGCUGAUUUUUGGGCGCGGCUGUUCCCGUGGCCUAUUUUUGGCACACAGAGGCCGCCCGCCAAGUAUGGUGCCAUUCCGAGUCCCGCGGACGAACUUCGCCUACGCCCCCCACCAAGGCUAUAGCCCACCCUUUUUUUGGCCAUUUUUCCGCUGGGGGGUCUUGGGACCCCGACCUUCGGGGGCUGAUUUUUGGGCGCGGCUGUGCCCGUGGCCUAUUUUUGGCACACGGAGGCCGCCCGCCAAGUCUGGGGCCAUUCCGAGUCCCGCGGACGAACUUCGCCCACGCCCCCCACCAAGGCUAUAGCCCACCCUUUUUUUGGCCAUUUUUCCGCUGGGGGGUCUUGGGACCCCGACCUUCGGGGGCUGAUUUUUGGGCGCGGCUGUGCACGUGGCCUAUUUUUGGCACACAGAGGCCGCCCGCCAAGUAUGGUGCCAUUCCGAGUCCCGCGGACGAACUUCGCCCACGCCCCCCACCAAGGCUAUAGCCCACGCGUUUUUUGGCCAUUUUUCCGCUGGGGGGACUUGGGACCCCGACCUUCGGGGGCUGAUUUUUGGGCGCGGCUGUGCCCGUGGCCUAUUUUUGGCACACAGAGGCCGCCCGCCAAGUCUGGUGCCAUUCAGAGUCCCGCGGACGAACUUCGCCCACGCCCCCCACCAAGGCUAUAGCCCACGCGUUUUUUGGCCAUUUUUCCGCUGGGGGGUCUUGGGACCCCGACCUUCGGGGGCUGAUUUUUGGGCGCGGCUGUGCCCGUGGCCUAUUUUUGGCACACGGAGGCCGCCCGCCAAGUAUGGUGCCAUUCCGAGUCCCGCGGACGAACUUCGCCCACGCCCCCCACCAAGGCUAUAGCCCACCCGUUUUUUGGCCAUUUUUCCGCUGGGGGGUCUUGGGACCCCGACCUUCGGGGGCUGAUUUUUGGGCGCGGCUGUGCCCGUGGCCUAUUUUUGGCACACAGAGGCCGCCCGCCUAGUAUGGUGCCAUUCCGAGUCCCGCGGACGAACUUCGCCCACGCCCCCCACCAAGGCUAUAGCCCACCCGUUUUUUGGCCAUUUUUCCGCUGGGGGGUCUUGGGACCCCGACCUUCGGGGGCUGAUUUUUGGGCGCGGCUGUGCCCGUGGCCUAUUUUUGGCACACAGAGGCCGCCCGCCAAGUAUGGUGCCAUUCCGAGUCCCGCGGACGAACUUCGCCCACGCCCCCCACCAAGGCUAUAGCCCACCCGUUUCUUGGCCAUUUUUCCGCUGGGGGGUCUUGGGACCCCGACCUUCGGGGGCUGAUUUUUGGGCGCGGCUGUGCCCGUGGCCUAUUUUUGGCACACCGAGGCCGCCCGCCAAGUAUGGUGCCAUUCCGAGUCCCGCGGACGAACUUCGCCCACGCCCCCCACCAAGGCUAUAGCCCACGCGUUUUUUGGCCAUUUUUCCGCUGGGGGGUCUUGGGACCCCGACCUUCGGGGGCUGAUUUUUGGGCGCGGCUGUGCCCGUGGCCUAUUUUUGGCACACAGAGGCCGCCCGCCAAGUAUGGUGCCAUUCCGAGUCCCGCGGACGAACUUCGCCCACGCCCCCCACCAAGGCUAUAGCGCACCCGUUUUUUGGCCAUUUUUCCGCCGGGGGGUCUUGGGACCCCGACCUUCGGGGGCUGAUUUUUGGGCGCGGCUGUGCCCGUGGCCUAUUUUUAGCACACGGAGGCCGCCCGCCAAGUAUGGUGCCAUUCCGAGUCCCGCGGACGAACUUCGCCCACGCCCCCCACCAAGGCUAUAGCCCACGCGUUUUUUGACCAUUUUUCCGCUGGGGGGUCUUGGGACCCCGACCUUCGGGGGCUGAUUUUUGGGCGCGGCUGUGCCCGUGGCCUAUUUUUGGCACACCGAGGCCGCCCGCCAAGUAUGGUGCCAUUCCGAGUCCCGCGGACGAACUUCGCCCACGCCCCCCACCAAGGCUAUAGCCCACGCGUUUUUUGACCAUUUUUCCGCUGGGGGGUCUUGGGACCCCGACGUUCGGGGGCUGAUUUUUGGGCGCGGCUGUGCCCGUGGCCUAUUUUUGGCACACGGAGGCCGCCCGCCAAGUAUGGUGCCAUUCCGAGUCCCACGGACGAACUUCGCCCACGCCCCCCACCAAGGCUAUAGCCCACGCGUUUUUUGGCCAUUUUUCCGCUGGGGGGUCUUGGGACCCCGACCUUCGGGGGCUGAUUUUUGGGCGCGGCUGUGCCCGUGGCCUAUUUUUGGCACACGGAGGCCGCCCGCCAAGUAUGGUGCCAUUCUGAGUCCCGCGGACGAACUUCGCCCACGCCCCCCACCAAGGCUAUAGCCCACCCGUUUUUUGGCCAUUUUUCCGCUGGGGGGUCUUUGGACCCCGACCUUCGGGGGCUGAUUUUUGGGCGCGGCUGUGCCCGUGGCCUAUUUUUGGCACACAGAGGCCGCCCGCCUAGUAUGGUGCCAUUCCGAGUCCCGCGGACGAACUUCGCCCACGCCCCCCACCAAGGCUAUAGCCCACGCGUUUUUUGGCCUUUUUUCCGCUGGGGGGUCUUGGGACCCCGACCUUCGGGGGCUGAUUUUUGGGCGCGGCUGUGCCCGUGGCCUAUUUUUGGCACACAGAGGCCGCCCGCCAAGUAUGGUGCCAUUCCGAGUCCCGCGGACGAACUUCGCCCACGCCCCCCACCAAGGCUAUAGCCCACGCGUUUUUUGGCCAUUUUUCCGCUGGGGGGUUUUGGGACCCCGACCUUCGGGGGCUGAUUUUUGGGCGUGGCUGUGCCCGUGGCCUAUUUUUGGCACACGGAGGCCGCCCGCCAAGUAUGGUGCCAUUCCGAGUCCCGCGGACGAACUUCGCCCACGCCCCCCACCAAGGCUAUAGCCCACCCGUUUUUUGGCCAUUUUUCCGCUGGGGGGUCUUGGGACCCCGACCUUCGGGGGCUGAUUUUUGGGCGCGGCUGUGCCCGUGGCCUAUUUUUGGCACACAGAGGCCGCCCGCCAAGUAUGGUGCCAUUCCGAGUCCCGCGGACGAACUUCGCCCACGCCCCCCACCAAGGCUAUAGCCCACGCGUUUUUUGGCCUUUUUUCCGCUGGGGGGUCUUGGGACCCCGAUCUUCGGGGGCUGAUUUUUGGGCGCGGCUGUGCCCGUGGCCUAUUUUUCGCAAACAGAGGCCGCCCGCCAAGUAUGGUGCCAUUCCGAGUCCCGCGGACGAACUUCGCCCACGCCCCCCACCAAGGCUAUAGCCCACGCGUUUUUUGGCCAUUUUUCCGCUGGGGGGUCUUGGGACCCCGACCUUCGGGGGCUGAUUUUUGGGCGCGGCUGUGCCCGUGGCCUAUUUUUGGAACACCGAGGCCGCCCGCCAAGUGUGGUGCCAUUCCGAGUCCCGCGGACGAACUUCGCCCACGCCCCCCACCAAGGCUAUAGCCCAUGCGUUUUUUGGCCUUUUUUCCGCUGGGGGGUCUUGGGACCCCGACCUUCGGGGGCUGAUUUUUGGGCGCGGCUGUGCCCGUGGCCUAUUUUUGGCACACAGAGGCCGCCCGCCAAGUAUGGUGCCAUUCCGAGUCCCGCGGACGAACUUCGCCCACGCCCCCCACCAAGGCUAUAGCCCACGCGUUUUUUGGCCAUUUUUCCGCUGGGGGGUCUUGGGACCCCGACCUUCGGGGGCUGAUUUUUGGGCGCGGCUGUGUCCGUGGCCUAUUUUUGGCACACAGAGGCCGCCCGCCAAGUAUGGUGCCAUUCCGAGUCCCGCGGACGAACUUCGCCCACGCCCCCCACCAAGGCUAUAGCCCACCCGUUUUUUGGCCAUUUUU
rnacentral:lncRNA from 1 species